GAUGAACGCUGGCGGCGUGCCUAAAACAUGCAAGUCAUACGGACCACUUUCGGGUGGUCAGUGGCAAACGGGUGAGUAACACGUGGGAACACGCCUUCGAGUGGGGAAGUAACGCUGAGAAAUCAGUGCUAAUACCGCAUGUGGUCGAAAGACUAAAGCAGCAAUGCGCUCGGGGAGUGGCCCGCGGUCGAUUAGCUAGUUGGUGGGGUAAUGGCCUACCAAGGCUGCGAUCGAUAGCCGGUCUGAGAGGAUGGUCAGCCACACUGGGGACUGCGAACGGCCCAGACUCCUACGGGAGGCAGCAGUUAGGAAUUUUCGUCAAUGGACGCAAGUCUGAACGAGCGACGCCGCGUGAAGGAUGAAGCCUCUCGGGUGUAAACUUC
rnacentral:rRNA from 1 species